rnacentral:rRNA from 1 species
AAAAGACUCUCGGCAACGGAUAUCUCGGCUCACGCAUCGAUGAAGAACGUAGCAAAAUGCGAUACUUGGUGUGAAUUGCAGAAUCCCGUGAACCAUCGAGUUUUUGAACGCAAGUUGCGCCCGAAGCCUUUCGGUCGAGGGCA